rnacentral:rRNA from 1 species
UAAUACGUAGGUGGCAAGCGUUGUCCGGAAUUAUUGGGCGUAAAGCGCGCGCAGGCGGCUAUGUAAGUCUGGUGUUAAAGCCCGGGGCUCAACCCCGGUCCGCAUCGGAAACUGUGUAGCUUGAGUGCAGAAGAGGAAAGCGGUAUUCCACGUGUAGCGGUGAAAUGCGUAGAGAUGUGGAGGAACACCAGUGGCGAAGGCGGCUUUCUGGUCUGUAACUGACGCUGAGGCGCGAAAGCGUGGGGAGCAAACAGGAUUAGAUACCCUGGUAGUCCACGCCGUAAACGAUGAGUGCUAGGUGUUGGGGGUUUCAAUACCCUCAGUGCCGCAGCUAACGCAAUAAGCACUCCGCCUGGGGAGUACGGUCGCAAGACUGAA